CAGCCGCCGCGGGAAUACGUAGGUGGCGAGCGUUGUCCGGAUUUAUUGGGCGUAAAGGGAGUGUAGGCGGUCUUUUAAGUCUGAUGUGAAAGCCCACGGCUCAACCGUGGAGGGUCAUUAGAAACUGGGAGACUUGAGUGCAGAAGAGGAGAGCGGAAUUCCAUGUGUAGCGGUGAAAUGCGUAGAUAUAUGGAGGAACACCGGUGGCGAAAGCGACUCUCUGGUCUGUCACUGACGCUGAGGCUCGAAAGCGUGGGUAGCGAACAGGAUUAGAUACCCCGGUAGUCCCUGUCUCUUAUAC
rnacentral:rRNA from 1 species